rnacentral:rRNA from 1 species
UACGUAGGGAGCAAGCGUUGUCCGGAUUCAUUGGGCGUAAAGAGCUCGUAGGCGGUCUGUCGCGUCGGCUGUGAAAACCCGGGGCUCAACCCCGGGCCUGCAGUCGAUACGGGCAGACUAGAGUGCGGUAGGGGAGACUGGAAUUCCUGGUGUAGCGGUGAAAUGCGCAGAUAUCAGGAGGAACACCGGUGGCGAAGGCGGGUCUCUGGGCCGUAACUGACGCUGAGGAGCGAAAGCGUGGGGAGCGAACAGG